rnacentral:rRNA from 1 species
UACGAAGGGGGCUAGCGUUGCUCGGAAUCACUGGGCGUAAAGCGCACGUAGGCGGAUUGCUAAGUCAGGGGUGAAAUCCUGGAGCUCAACUCCAGAACUGCCUUUGAUACUGGCGGUCUCGAGUCCGGGAGAGGUGAGUGGAACUGCGAGUGUAGAGGUGAAAUUCGUAGAUAUUCGGAAGAACACCAGUGGCGAAGGCGGCUCACUGGCCCGGUACUGACGCUGAGGUGCGAAAGCGUGGGGAGCAAACAGG